UAGUCCAUGCCGUAAACGAUGAUUACUAGCUAUUAGCGAUACAAUGUUAGUGGCAAAGCGAAAGCAUUAAGUAAUCCACCUGGGAAGUACGGUCGCAAGAUUGAAACUCAAAGGGAAUUGACGGGGCCCGCACAAGCGGUGGAGCAUGUGGUUUAAUUCGAUGAUACGCGAGGAACCUUACCAGGGCUUAAAUGCAGAUUGACAGGACUGGAAACAGUUUUUCUUCGGACAAUUUGCAAGGUGCUGCAUGGUUAUCGUCAGCUCGUGCUGUGAAGUGUCGGGUUAAGUCCCAUAACGAGCGCAACCCCUAUCUUUAGUUGCUAGCAGGUAAUGCUGAGGACUCUAGAGAAACUGCCCGUGCAAAACGGUGAGGAAGGUGGGGAUGACGUCAAAUCAUCACGGCCCUUACGUCCUGGGCUACACACGUGCUACAAUGGCCGGUACAGAGGGCAGCUACCCCGCGAGGGGAUGGCGAAUCUCAAAAAGCCGGUCUCAGUUCGGAUCGG
rnacentral:rRNA from 1 species